AGCUCAAUGGCAUAGUUGGUUAUCACAUCUGUCUAACAUGCUGGUUGUAGACUUGCGCACAGAAGGUCCCCAGUUGGAGCCCAGGUCAAAUUA